CGCAGUAUAGCUCUACCGCUGUUGCUAAUCAAGAAAUCGUUUCUGAUUUCAAAUCCGGAGAAGCUGGGAGCCGUGGUAGCAAUUUCAGUUGAUAGCGAUGCCGCACCGAAGGAUCCGGUUCGGGCCGAGCAGGGUCGGUCUGAAAAUAAAGACGUAGCGUUGCCGAUCCUGAGCUGCAGGUUUCGGAAGGAGGCUGGACGCUAGCCACUAUGAAGUUGCGUACUCAAGGCAACGCAGUCCAGGAUACAGAGGCGAGCUUGCACCGGUGGACGUCUGCGGAGUUUCGUCGAUGGACUUGGCCAGACGUCG